rnacentral:rRNA from 1 species
UACGUAGGGGGCAAGCGUUGUCCGGAUUUAUUGGGCGUAAAGAGCUCGUAGGCGGUCUGUCGCGUCGGCCUGUGAAAGCCCGGGGCUUAACCCCGGGUCUGCAGUCGAUACGGGCAGGCUAGAGUGUGGUAGGGGAGAUCGGAAUUCCUGGUGUAGCGGUGAAAUGCGCAGAGUAUCAGGAGGAACACCGGUGGCGAAGGCGGAUCUCUGGGCCAUUACUGACGCUGAGGAGCGAAAGCGUGGGGAGCGAACAGGAUAGAACCCUACCGUAGUCAGACCAAGUCCAUCUCG